GAACUGCGAUAAGUAAUGUGAAUUGCAGAAUUCAGUGAAUCAUCGAGUCUUUGAACGCACAUUGCGCCCCCUGGCAUUCCGGGGGGCAUGCCUGUCCGAGCGUCAUUGCUGCCCUCAAGCCCGGCUUGUGUGUUGGGUCGUCGUCCCCCCCGGGGGACGGGCCCGAAAGGCAGCGGCGGCACCGUGUCCGGUCCUCGAGCGUAUGGGGCUUUGUCACCCGCUCGAUUAGGGCCGGCCGGGCGCCAGCCGGCGUCUCCAACCUUAUUUUUCUCAGGUUUACCUCGGAUCAGGUAGGGAUACCCGCUGAACUUAAGC
rnacentral:misc_RNA from 1 species